rnacentral:rRNA from 1 species
UACGGGGGGGGCAAGCGUUGUUCGGAAUUACUGGGCGUAAAGGGCUCGUAGGCGGCCAACUAAGUCGGACGUGAAAUCCCCAGGCUCAACCUGGGAACUGCGUCCGAUACUGGAUGGCUUGAAUUCGGGAGAGGGAUGCAGAAUUCCAGGUGUAGCGGUGAAAUGCGUAGAUAUCUGGAGGAAUACCGGUGGCGAAGGCGGUUCUCUGGGCAUGUCCUGACGCUGAGGAGCGAAAGUGUGGGGAGCGAACAGG